rnacentral:lncRNA from 1 species
GCAGGUUGUAGUGUGUCAGAAUUCCACUGUCUAUAUUGAGUCCAUGAGUUUCUGUACCUACUACCUAGGAGGCUGGUGAAAUGAAGUUCAUAGUCCCGGAUGUGAAAAGUGGUUUGUAAAUUCAAACAAGCACUGAACCUUGCUAACCUAAUCUCAUCACGAGAAGCCAACUUCCUACAGCUCAAAACACAAAACCUGCCAAUAAUCUCCUGUACCUCCACAAACUGCACACCAGAAUCUAUCAAAGACAAGAAUACCCAACCACCUGUAGGGGAACAUUUCUCACAAAAAAACCAGUCUGUCUCCAGUCUCUCAGGCCUGAUCCUCAAAGGGAAUUUACAAACCACCUUUCACAGCUGGGUCUAUGACCUUCACUUCAUCAGCCUCCUGGGUACUAGGUACAGAAACUCACAGACUCAAUAUAGACAGUGGAAUUUUGACACACUACAACCUGUCAGGCAUCUGACUCUCCACUUUUACGUGCGCUGCUACAUCCUCUUUUCCCCCUCUGCCCCAGCCUGUCCCUUACCCCCUGACACCUCCAUUUCCAUUUUCACUGACUGGCUUUCUUGCCUGCAUUGCAUGCCAGCCUCUGGCUUCUUUACUGUUCCUUCUAUCCAGGAACAGCACACACACACACACCAACUGCAGUGUUUCCUCAGCUUGACAAAGGGCUUUUCAACCCAAAAGCUCCUUGGUGAGAUAGGCAGCCACCAAGGCCUGAGUGCUACCUUCCAGAUGGUGAGGUCUGGUGCCUCUGGACCCCGCCAUGGAAGCCAUGCCGUUGGCCCACAUUGGCAGCACCUAUGGUAGAGGAGAAGACUGGCUGGUGGAUGCCAUGCUAGCAUGGGAUAGUGGAUCCCCCUCUUCCUCAUCCCCCUGCCUCUGCUGUUAUGCCUCCCUGACUCUCUUCACUAGCACUUCCGCCCACUGUUUCAGUGUUUGAUUGCUGCAUACAUUGCCCUUCACCCUCAGACCACACCUGGCAGCUAGCACAUGGACUGUACUGGACUGCAAGGGAUCAAGCUGUUUCCUGAUGCCCUCCUU